CAAACGCUAUAUCGAAUAAAUAAUACUGUAAUUAAUGCUGCAUGUAGAAAAGUCUAAGCAAUUUGAUAAUACAGUGUAAUAAGAACUUGGCCACAUAAAAUGAUUAAAUGAUUGAUGUAAUAUGGUGUUAUGUUGUAAAACAUAAUGGUAAUUAUGCAUCGAUAUACACCUCUACCAUAGCAUAUUGUAGAGGUAAGACUUAUGAAGAAUCUGUAAGGUCUAUAUAUCUCUCACC
rnacentral:lncRNA from 1 species